CGCGAAUUCGCCCUUCGGGGUGCGCAGGCGCGAAAACUCCACAAUGUACGGAAGUACGAUGGGGUUAUCUCGAGUGCAGUCCGAUAAGGGCUGCUUUUCCAUAGAGUAAUAUCCUGUGGGAAUAAGAGGGGGGCAAGACUGGUGUCAGCCGCCGCGGUAACACCAGCCCCUCGAGUGGUGGGGACUAUUAUUUGGUCUAAAGCGUCCGUAGCUGGCUGUAUCCGUCCCCCGUUAAAUCCAGCGUCCUAAGCGUUGGACUGCGGGUGAUACCAUACAGCUAGAGGGUGGGAUAGGUGAGCGGUAUUUCUGGGGUAGGGGCGAAAUCCUUUGAUCCCAGGAGGACCACCAGUGGCGAAGGCUGCUCACUAGAACACGCCUGACGGUCAGGGACGAAAGCUGGGGCAGCGAACCGGAUUAGAUACCCGGGUAGUCCCAGCUGUAAACGAUGCUAGCUAGGUGUUGGGUCGGCCACGCGCCGCCCCAGUGCCGCAGGGAAGCCGUUAAGCUAGCCACCUGGGGAGUACGGCCGCAAGGCUGAAACUUAAAGGAAUUGGCGGGGGAGCAC
rnacentral:rRNA from 1 species